rnacentral:rRNA from 1 species
UACAGAGGUCCCAAGCGUUGUUCGGAAUUACUGGGCGUAAAGGGCGCGUAGGCGGCCAUCUAAGUCAGACGUGAAAUCCCCCGGCUCAACCUGGGAACUGCGUCUGAUACUGGAAGGCUAGAGUUUGGGAGAGGGAUGUAGAAUUCCAGGUGUAGCGGUGAAAUGCGUAGAUAUCUGGAGGAAUACCGGUGGCGAAGGCGGCAUCCUGGACCAAUACUGACGCUGAGGCGCGAAAGCUAGGGGAGCAAACGGG